CAGUCGCCCGCGCGCGCAUGUUCAGUGAGCGCGCGGGCGCUGGAAUGCGCUCUGCUGCUCCGGCGAGAUAAAUUUAGGGAAGAGUGGAAUGGAGGAAAGGGUAAUUUAAGGUCAAGUUCAGCAGAACAUUUUUUUUCCCGACAGGGGGAGGUGUGCUGCACUCACCUGCUUUUUAAAUCGGCUGCACUGACAGGAAAAAGCUGCGGUUCGUUUCGCACGUGCUUUACCUUUACCAGGCUAUAUCAUCUGGGCUUGUGUAAGUUCACUCCGACAAUGACGAAAAUGACGCAUUUCACAGAACGCAUCUAUGUUGUUAAGCGACAAAUGACUAUUGAUUCUGGGGGUCGGCGCCGUACCCGUAACCGACAGCUGUUUGUGGCGUCGUUGCACGGCGACCCCAUGUGUCACAACUGGCGGCUAAUGAAGGCACCGCCAUAAGGAGGCUGAUCGCGGCUGCAGUUGGAGAGGGAGAGGAGAACGAUUUGCCAACUCAGCUCUCCUCCAUGGAGUCCGGCACUGUCUUAUUUGAGAACUUCCUUAUGUUUUCUUGCUAAUAAAAUGCUUCGCACUA